UAGAAACACUGAUUUCCGUACGAUCACCGAAGUUAAGCAACGUCGAGCGUUGUCAGUAACUAGAUGAGUGACCAGUUGGGAAUAACAAGUGCUGCAAG